GACCGCUCCGGUAGCAUAGUGGUUAAAGCGUCCGCCUCGGAUGAGGAAGGUCGCGGGUUCUAACCCCGGCCUGGUCA